rnacentral:misc_RNA from 1 species
UUGGUUCGAGUCCAUUUAGGCCCAUUGGAUUAUUUAUUUUUAAUUAAAUACCCUUAAAAAGGGGCCUUAGCUCAGCUGGGAGAGCGCCUGCCUUGCACGCAGGAGGUCAGCGGUUCGAUCCCGCUAGGCUCCAUUGUAAUCUGAUUGAAGAUUACAUACAGAAUUUGUUCUUUGAAAACUGGAUACUGUUUAAAAAGUAAUUAAAGUAAGAAACCGAGAAAACACCGCGUUUUAAAUGAGUUUUUUAAUUAGUUCUUAUCGUAAGAUAAUGAAUAAAAUCAUUGACUAACAUCAUGGAAAUCCUUCGGGAAUCCCAUUGAUAAAAAUUUAGUUGUAGUGGUUUCUAAUUCGAGGACAUGAAGGGUUUGAGAAGCAAGAGCGUACUAGCGUACGUGAGCGUCGCAGAACACGAAAUGGACGAAGAAGUAGGAAGCAAUACAGAUAAAUUAGGUUAAGUUAAUAAGGGCGCACGGUGGAUGCCUUGGCACUAAGAGCCGAUGAAGGACGGGACUAACUCCGAUAUGCUUUGGGAGCUGUAAGA